UUCGUAGGUGGUGCGGCAAGUUGGGAGUGAAAUCUCUGGGCUUAACCCAGAGGCUGCUUUCAAAACUGCCGUGCUCGAGUGCGGGAGAGGCCAGUGGAAUUGCAGGUGUAGCGGUGAAAUGCGUAGAUAUCUGCAGGAACACCCGUGGCGAAGGCGGCUGGCUGGACCGCAAACUGACACUGAGGAACGAAAGCUAGGGGAGCAAACAGGAUUAGAUACCCUGGUAGUCCUAGCCCUAAACCAUCAGAACUUGGGGUGGCCCGCGUAGGCGGGUCGUCCCGCAGCUAACGCGUUAAGUUCUGCGCCUGGGGAGUACGGUCGCAAGACUGAA
rnacentral:rRNA from 1 species